CGUAGGUGAACCUGCGGAAGGAUCAUUAUCGUGGGGAUUCGUCCCUAUCGAGAUAGCACCCUUUGUCUAUGAGAACCUUCUGUUUCCUCGGCGGGUUACGCCCGCCAAUGGGGACCCUUUAAACCCUUUGCAGUAGCAGUAAACUUCUGAUAUAAAUAAAUAUUAAAACUUUCAACAACGGAUCUCUUGGUUCUGGCAUCGAUGAAGAACGCAGCGAAAUGCGAUAAGUAGUGUGAAUUGCAGAAUUCAGUGAAUCAUCGAAUCUUUGAACGCACAUUGCGCCCUUCGGUAUUCCGUAGGGCAUGCCUGUUCGAGCGUCAUUUAAACCUUCAAGCUCUGCUUGGUGUUGGGUGUCUGUCUCGCCUCCGUGCGUGGACUCGCCUUAAAAUCAUUGGCAGCCGGUAGUUUGGCUUCGUGCGCAGCAGAAUACGCGCGUGAGACUGGGCUGUCGGCUUUCCACAAGCCUCUUUUUAGUUUGACCUCG
rnacentral:rRNA from 1 species